AGCGGCGGACGGGUUAGUAACGCGUGGGAAUAUACCCAGUUCUAAGGAAUAGCCACUGGAAACGGUGAGUAAUACCUUAUACGCCCUUCGGGGGAAAGAUUUAUCGGAAUUGGAUUAGCCCGCGUUAGAUUAGAUAGUUGGUGGGGUAAUGGCCUACCAAGUCUACGAUCUAUAGCUGGUUUGAGAGGAUGAUCAGCAACACUGGGACCGAGACACGGCCCAGACUCCUACGGGAGGCAGCAGUGGGGAAUUUUAGACAAUGGGCGAAAGCCUGAUCUAGCCAUGCCGCGUGAGUGAUGAAGGCCCUAGGGUCGUAAAGCUCUUUCAACUGUGAAGAUAAUGACGGUAGCAGUAGAAGAAACCCCGGCUAACUCCGUGCCAGCAGCCGCGGUAAUACGGAGGGGGUUAGCGUUGUUCGGAAUUACUGGGCGUAAAGCGUACGUAGGCGGAUUAAUAAGUUAGAGGUGAAAUCCCAGGGCUCAACCCUGGAACUGCCUUUAAAACUGUUAGUCUUGAGAUCGAGAGAGGUGAGUGGAAUUCCAAGUGUAGAGGUGAAAUUCGUAGAUAUUUGGAGGAACACCAGUGGCGAAGGCGGCUCACUGGCUCGAUACUGACGCUGAGGUACGAAAGUGUGGGGAGCAAACAGGAUUAGAUACCCUGGUAGUCCACACCGUAAACGAUGAAUGCCAGACGUCAGCAAGCAUGCUUGUUGGUGUCACACCUAACGGAUUAAGCAUCCGCCUGGG
rnacentral:rRNA from 1 species